CUGGGACGUAGUGGACAGUACUGGGCCAUACUGUGCCAUAGUGGGCCAUACUGGGACAUACUGGGCUGGACAGGAAUGUACUGGGCUGUACUGGACUGUACUGGGCUGGACUGGGCUGGACUGGGACGUACUGGACUGUACUGGGCUGUACUGGGCCAUACUGGGCUGUACUGGGCUGUACUGGGCUGUACUGGGCUGUACUGGGCUGUACUGGACUGUACUGGGCUGUACUGGUCCAUACUGGGCUGUACUGGGCUGUACUGGGCCAUACUGGUCUAUGCUGAUCCACAUCAAUCUGUACUGGUCUUUACUGGUCUACGGCAAUCUAUACUGGUUUAUACUGGUCCAUACUGGUCUGUACCGAUAUAGGCUGCCCUACAUCAUUCCAUACUGGCUUAUACUGGUCCAUACUGGUUUAUACUAGCCCAUACUCCCCUAAAGUGGUUUAUAACAAUCCAUACUGGUUUAUACUGGCCCAUACUGGUCCAUAAUGGCCCAUAAUGGUUUAUACUGCCCCAUUCUCAUUUAUACUGGUCCAUACUGGGCCAUACAGCCCCAUACUGGUCCAUACUGGUUUAUAAUGGCUCAUACUGCUUUAUACUGGUCCAUAGCAGUUUAUAAUGGCCCAUACUGGUUUAUACUUGUCCAUACUGGUUUAUACUGGUCCAUACUGGCUUAUAGUGGUCCACACAGCCCCAUGCUCAUUCAUACUGACCCAUACCAGCCCAUACAGCCCCAUACUGGUCCAUACUGGUUUAUAAUGGCCCAUACUGGUUUAUACUGACCCAUACUGGUUUAUACUAGCCCAUACUCACCUAUACUGGUUUAUACUGGUCUAUACUGGUUUAUACUGCCCCAUACUCAUUUAUACUGACCCAUACCAACCCAUACAGUCCCAUACUGGUCCAUACUGGUUUAUAAUGGCCCAUACUGGUUUAUACUGGUCCAUACUGGUUUAUAAUGGCCCAGGCUGGUUUAUACUGCCCCAUACUCACUUACCCUGACCCAUACCGGCCCAUACAGCCCCAUAGUGAUUCAUCCUGCCCCAUACUGGUCCAUUCUGGUUUAUAAUGGCCCAUACAGCCCCAUACUGGUUUAUAAUGGCCCAUACUGGUUUAUACCGGCCCAUACUGGUUCAUAAUGGCCCAUACUCAUUCAUACUGACCCAUACCGGCCCAUACAGCCCCAUACUGGUCCAUACUGGUUUAUAAUGGCCCAUACUGGUUUAUAAUGGCCCAUACUGGUUUAUACUGGCCCAUACUGGUUUAUACUGGUUUAUACUGGUUUAUACUGGUCCAGACUGGUUUAUACUGCCCCAUACUCACUUACCCUGACCCAUACCGGCCCAUACAGCCCCAUAGUGAUCUAU
rnacentral:lncRNA from 1 species